UACAGAGGUGCCAAGCGUUAGGCGGAAUCACUGGGCUUAAAGCGCGUGUAGGUGGACGGGUAAGUAUCUUGUGAAAUCCCACGGCUCAACCGUGGAACUGCUGGAUAUACUGCUUGUCUUGAGGCACUUAGGGGCAGCUGGAACAAAUGGUGGAGCGGUGAAAUGCGUAGAUAUCAUUGGAACGCCAAAGGCGAAAGCAGGCUGCUGGGAGUGAUCUGACACUGAGACGCGAAAGCCAGGGGAGCAAA
rnacentral:rRNA from 1 species